GCAAACGCAAACCUCUCUCCUCUCUCAGUCCAUUUAUGUCUUGCUCCCUCCGUCGUGCCGAAGGCCUCUCUGACGGCGGAGGCACUCAUAAAUCCAAAACAAGAAGAAUGUUUGAACCGAAAUCAUGCGCUGAAACCAAAAAUGCAAACGGAUUCUUCUAAUUCUUCAAGAACCAUGCAAGUCGAAGAUAAAAAUGGAAGAACCCUAAGUAAUCAAAGCCAAAUUAAGUAGCGCACGUUCACGGGAUUCACAUUCAAACCAUGAGGCUAAUGACGCCAAGUGUUUCUUCUACACAAUGGUAACUAUUUCAUAGAAAAUAGGAGUGAAACACAAUUUACCUCCGAAACAGAGAACUGUUUUGAUGAAUGUUGAAACGGAGAAGACGGAGGCGCAGCGGAAAGUCAUUUGAAACACAGG
rnacentral:lncRNA from 1 species